rnacentral:rRNA from 1 species
CCACGCCGUAAACGUUGGGAACUAGGUGUGGGCAACAUUCCACGUUGUCCGUGCCGCAGCUAACGCAUUAAGUUCCCCGCCUGGGGAGUACGGCCGCAAGGCUAAAACUCAAAGGAAUUGACGGGGGCCCGCACAAGCGGCGGAGCAUGUGGCUUAAUUCGACGCAACGCGAAGAACCUUACCAAGGCUUGACAUACACCGGAAACACGUGGAGACACGUGCCCCCUUGUGGUCGGUGUACAGGUGGUGCAUGGCUGU